UACGUAGGUGGCGAACGUUGUCCGGAUUUACUGGGCGUAAAGGGAGCGUAGGCGGACUUUUAAGUGAGAUGUGAAAUACUCGGGCUCAACUUGAGUGCUGCAUUCCAAACUGGAAGUCUAGAGUGCAGGAGAGGAGAAUGGAAUUCCUAGUGUAGCGGUGAAAUGCGUAGAGAUUAGGAAGAACACCAGUGGCGAAGGCGAUUCUCUGGACUGUAACUGACGCUGAGGCUCGAAAGCGUGGGGAGCAAACAGG
rnacentral:rRNA from 1 species